UCUCCUCCUUCUCCUUCUUCUCCUUCUUCUUCUUCAUUUCUUCUUUUCUUCUUCUAUUCAACCUCUUCUUCUUCAUCAUCUAUUGUAACCACAGAGAGGGUUUGUGUGAAAUUUAGGGGUUUUUUUCUCCUUCUUCUUCUUCAUUUUUUCUUUUCUACCAGAGACAGAGAUCGAUUAGCUUAACAAAGUUCUGGUUUCGAAUAUAGUUUGGAACUCGCACAGAGAGAGGAGAGAAGAAGAAACAGGAGCUCGCCCCCUUGUGAAAUCUCCUCUGCAGAGCAGGUAUUGGGACAAAUUUUAGGGUUUUUCUAGACCACCUAUACAGAGAGAUGACUUCUUCUAUGCCCCCACUCAUGAUAGCAACUUGUGAAAUUUGUGGGAAGAGUUGUGGUAAAUA